GGCCAGGUGGCAGAGUGGUCAUGCAGCGGCCUGCAAAGCCGCGUACGCCGGUUCGAUCCCGACCCUGGCCU
rnacentral:tRNA from 1 species